rnacentral:rRNA from 1 species
GUGGGGAAUUUUGGACAAUGGGCGCAAGCCUGAUCCAGCCAUUCCGCGUGCAGGAUGAAGGCCUUCGGGUUGUAAACUGCUUUUGUACGGAACGAAAAGCCUCUGGUUAAUACCCGGGGGUCAUGACGGUACCGUAAGAAUAAGCACCGGCUAACUACGUGUCAGCAGCCGCGGUAAUACGUAGGGUGCGAGCGUUAAUCGGAAUUACUGGGCGUAAAGCGUGCGCAGGCGGUGCUGUAAGACAGUUGUGAAAUCCCCGGGCUCAACCUGGGAACUGCAUCUGUGACUGCAUUGCUGGAGUGCGGCAGAGGGGGAUGGAAUUCCGCGUGUAGCAGUGAAAUGCGUAGAUAUGCGGAGGAACACCGAUGGCGAAGGCAAUCCCCUGGGCCUGCACUGACGCUCAUGCACGAAAGCGUGGGGAGCAAACAGGAUUAGAUACCCGGGUAGUCC